rnacentral:rRNA from 1 species
AAGUAGAAGGGUGAACUCCGUUUGCGGGGGGAUCAGUGGAGAAUGGGUGACUCACACGAGGGCAACCUGCCCUCAGCUCUGGGAUAACUCCAAGAAAUUGGGGCUAAUACUGGAUAUGACUGCUGACCGCAUGGUCUGGUGGUGGAAAGAUUUAUCGGCUGGGGAUGGGCCCGCGGCCUAUCAUCUUGUUGGGGGGGUAGUGGCCUACCAACGCGACAACGGGUAGCCGGCCUGAGAGGGUGAUCCGGCCACACUGGGACUGAGACACGGCCCACACUCCUACGGGAGGGAGCAGCGGGGAAUAUUGCGCAGUGGGCGAAAGCCUGACUCACCGACUCCGCGUGGGGGAUGACGGCCCUCGGGUUGUAAACCUCUUUCAGCAGGGACCAAGCGGAAGUAACGGUUCCUGCAGAAGAAGGACCGGCCAACUACUUGCCAGCGGCCUCAGUAAUAGGUAGGGUGCACGCGCUGGCCGGAAUUAUUGGGCGUAAAGAGCUCGUAGGCGGUUUGUUGCGUCGGCUGUGAAAACCUGAGGCUCAACCUCAGGCCUGCAGUCGAUACGAGCAGACUAGAGUGUUGCAGGGGAGACUGGAAUUCCUGGUGUAGCGGUGAAAUGCGCAGAUAUCGGGAGGAACACCGGUGGCGAAGGCGGGUCUCUGGGCAACAACUGACGCUGAGGAGCGAAAGCGUGGGGAGCGAACAGGAUUAGAUACCCUGGUAGUCCACGCCGUAAACGUUGGGCGCUAGGUGUGGGGCUCAUUCCACGAGUUCCGUGCCGCAGCUAACGCAUUAAGCGCCCCGCCUGGGGAGUACGGCCGCAAGGCUAAAACUCAAAGGAAUUGACGGGGGCCCGCACAAGCGGCGGAGCAUGUUGCUUAAUUCGAUGCAACGCGAAGAACCUUACCUAGGCUUGACAUGCACGGAAAUCCUCCAGAGAUGGUGGGUCCGUAAGGGUCGUGCACAGGUGGUGCAUGGUUGUCGUCAGCUCGUGUCGUGAGAUGUUGGGUUAAGUCCCGCAACGAGCGCAACCCUCGUUCUAUGUUGCCAGCACGUGAUGGUGGGGACUCAUAGGAGACUGCCGGGGUCAACUCGGAGGAAGGUGGGGAUGACGUCAAAUCAUCAUGCCCCUUAUGUCUAGGGCUGCAAACAUGCUACAAUGGCCGGUACAAAGGGCUGCGAUACCGCGAGGUGGAGCGAAUCCCAAAAAGCCGGUCUCAGUUCGGAUUGGGGUCUGCAACUCGACCCCAUGAAGUUGGAGUCGCUAGUAAUCGCAGAUCAGCAACGCUGCGGUGAAUACGUUCCCGGGCCU